CUCUCUCUUUUCUUUUCUCUUCAUUCUUCUUUUCUCUUCUUCUUUCUUCCUCUCUGCCUCCUGUUCUUCUCUGCUCGUGUUCUGUGAGAAGAGUUCGUGAAAUAGAAGAGAAACUUAAGGGAAAACAUUGCGAGUUGGUCGUUGGUGAUGAUGUUAUGUUUGUUUGAGCACGGGAUGAAGAUGGUAGAGUUUUUACUGUCAAUUGAAGAUGUGAUUCCUGAAGUUAGGGUUUGAGUGGAAUUGAGAUGUAAAUCGUGUUGCUGAUAGAUAAAUAGGAAGAGGGUUGUUGUUAAUUGCUGUUAUUGAGUGGUUUCGAUGGUUGAAUCAAAGUUAGGGUUCUGAGAUUGGUGUUGGUUACAGUUUUGAGGAAUUAAGGAUGGGUUUGGUGAUAUUAGUAUGAAGAUGAAGAAUUAGAGAUGAAUAUGUGAGUUUGAUGAAGAUUAGCGAAUCUAGGGUUUGUGUUCUUCUCAAAAUAUAAAUUGGGGUUUUGUUUGAAAGCAUAAAAGUGAACUGAGUCGUUAAUGAUAAUGAAUGAAGAAUUUAGGGGUUAUUACCGAAUUGAUGAAGUGAAGCUGUUCUGAAGGUGAAUCGAAAGGAAAAGGUAACUUAGAGUUUCUUGAUUUGAUUCUGUGUAUGUAAAAUUGGAUAAUAGCUGAUGAUUUUUAGAUGGGUUUGCUUAGAUUGAUGUUGAAUCAGUUAUGUGGAGUUUUAUUUCAGUUUAAUUGUGAGUUUGAGAACUAUAGACUAUAAUUGUUGAGUUAGAAGUUGUAGAUGAAUCAUGACGUGGAGCUGUGAAUGAUUGAGAUGAUUAUAGAGUGGACAAAGCAAGGAAUUAAGGUCUGCUAUUUUUUUCAAGGAACCUGAACUGAGGGAUUAGAUGUAUGAGUUAGGUAUAAACUGUGAAGGUGGAACGGAAACAGAACUGGAGAUGGGUUAUUGGCGGCGUUGUCUGUGUAAUUGAAUGUGCAGGUGCAGAUGUAAUAUUGUGAAUGAAAUUCCUGAGAUGAGUUUAGUUGUGGUGAUGAUGAUGUUGAUGUUACAAGGGAGGAGUUAUGUAAUGGUGGAGGUGGAGGUUGAAUUUACAUGGGUGAUGAUUGUAGCUGAGGUUGUAAUAUUAGGAAUGAUGUUACAGGGAGCUGUUUUGGGUAUAGAUGUAUAAAAUGGUUUGUUGUUGUUGUGAUACAGAGUUGCAUGCGAAAGAGUAGUGAAUGAUAAAAAUAGGAAUAACGAAUUGGAGCUGUUAGCGAUGCAGUAAUGUUGAGCUGGUAGAUGAGUAGCAAAUUAGAGUUGUUUUGAUAUACAGGAAGAGUAUGUUACCUGAGUUGGGAUUUAGCUGAAGUGUAAUGAUUGUGUUAUGAGUUGAACAAAGAACCUGUUAGAUGAAUUUAAGAUACUUAGUGGUGGUUCUGUAGUUGGGUUGAUAUUGCAGUUGUGUUAAUGGGAGAAAAGAAUAAAUGGAUGAUGGGAUUUCAGUAGUGAAUGGUUGUUGUAGAAUGCCGGUGAAAAGCUUGGUGUUGUUGCAGGUUCUUAAGAAGAUAAUUUGAUUGAGUAUUUGUGAUUGGUAAUUGGGUUAAGGCUGGAUGUUGGAUAUGGAACGAAGUUUGGUUGUUGUUUUGAAUUACACAGGAUUAUAUUGGCUGGUGGAGCUGCAUAUUGCUUUAUUGUUGAAGUAAAUGGGGUAUUGAGAUGUGUUACAGGUAUGCGAAUGGUGGUGUUGUCGUGUUAAGGUGCGGGGUAUGAUUGAACUUCUAGAGGGUGGUUGGUUUAAGUGGUGUUAUGGAUGUUGACUAGAUUGCAGCUGAAACUGAAAGGGGAAAACUGAUAAUAAUGGAUUGAGAUUCAUUUGUGGAUGAGUUGAAGUUUAUAUAAAUCAUUGUAAUUGAUAGUCUGACUACAGUCCAGGGAGAUUUUAUAACCUGAGACGAUGAUGUUGUGACUUAGAGAAGUUGAGAUGAUCUGAGUUUGGUUUAGAGCUGCAAUCGCAGGUAAACCUAGUGUACAUUUGUAAAUGAAGUUAUAAUUUGUUUAAGAAUGAUGAAUUGAUGUUGUUAUGUUAAAAUGGUA